CGUUAACUGUGAUUAAUUGAUAAUCCUAAUAUAUAUGAGUAAAUGAAACUAUUAAUUCACACUAUUGUGAUUCUUUCAGGUAAUGUUGAUCACUAAGUUGGUUGCUGAACUUCUGAGGUCUGAAUAUCACUGCGGAAGAUUGACCAUUUACUAAUGGACCCUAUGUUAAUUAAAGAGAGAGUUCAAAAGCAUAUAUAUUUUCCUGUCCAGUUAAUUAAUUGAUUUGGAAUAAGAUUUAUGUGGUUAAGGGGGUUUUAUAAUUACAUGUUACACAGAGUGGAAAAUGGAACAAUUUAAUAGACUACGGCUGUGAUACUGCCAAGUGCUGAGCACCUCCAGGGAAGGACUUAAGCAGUCUGAUCUCCCAAUGAGCCAACUUCUCUCUGCUGCUGACAGUCUGCAGAUCUUAAGUUCCCAGUUGCAGUUGCUCAGCAUCGCUCAUAUUUGGCCUACUGAAUUGAGGGUUCUCAGCAUCACACGGGAGUGGGUCCUAAGUUACUUCAGAAAGGAUUUUGUCAAGGUAACGGCAUUUAUUUUUCACUACAGAGCUGCUUUCGCACAAGCAGUUUUGUAUGCCUUUAAAGGUCCAAAUCCCUGAAUCUUCAUUCGAAGAUGAACAUCUGAACCCAUUCUGAAGAGACCAGGGGAGGCAGAACAUUAGCCUGGGAGUCCGUUUCUUUUUCAGAUAUUCAUCAAAAUCACAAAACCCUUAUGUAAGAACCUCGUUCUUCAGGCCUCAUGCCCACAGAGGAACUUCCACUGUAGUAUCUACCUACCCGGACUGGAUGUGUUAUCAACAGAUCUUAAAGCACGUUACAAGGUGGAGAAGAAUCACUUGUCCAAAGGCAAUAGUAGAUCAGUCCAAACGAGCAACAUGUGGCAAAGGUAACAAAGCCAGGAUUAGAACUCAUUUUGCCUGGCACCUAGACUUCUGCUUCUGUACCAAGCCAUCUUUGAAGAUAGAGUUGAGUGAGGACGCAUGAUAUAUAUAUAUAUAGCUUGAUACUAUAAUUCUGUUUGUUCCUUCUCUUUUAUUAGUAGAGAUGGUUGUGUGAAAACAGGAUCUUUGUUUCUUAGAAGUUCAUCAGCUCCUGCUGCUGAUUGUCCCCUAGAAAUCUGAUUCGAAAUCCUCAGUGUGGGGACAUCAUUUCCACAGCAACUAGUGAAGAAGCCCAGACCCCUCUGGGAAGGAAUAAACUGCAAGAACCGAUGAAGCUCCUGAGCA
rnacentral:lncRNA from 1 species